rnacentral:rRNA from 1 species
UACGAGAGGCCCAAACGUUAUUCGGAAUUACUGGGCUUAAAGAGUUCGUUGGCGGCGCAGAAAGUAGGGUGUGAAAGCCCUCGGCUCAACCGAGGAAUUGCGCUCUAAACUACUGUGCUUGAGGAAGCUAGAGGUGAGCGGAACUGAUGGUGGAGCGGUGAAAUGCGUUGAUAUCAUCAGGAACACCGGAGGCGAAGGCGGCUCACUGGGGCUUUUCUGACGCUGAGGAACGAAAGCCAGGGGAGCGAACGGG